CUCCUCACUCCCAUCUUAUAAUGAGUUACAAUUCCAUGAACAUCUUCAAAUGGAGAUCAGAGACAAAGUCUCAAGCAAUUUCAUAAAUAGUCACAUAAUUAUGGCUUUUAUCCACCAUCACAUAACUAUGUUUCUAACAGAAUUCACCAACACACACAAAAGUCACACUGCCAGAAUACCCAACACUCCGAUGAGUCAUAAUUUUUACUCUACAUAUUAGAGUUUUUUUUUUUUAAAUUCGUAAGACUAUAAAUACAGACCAAAUGUAAAAAGGACUAACCUUCCCAUGAGUGGUAAUACACCUAUUUUUUACCACCUUCAAAUGUAUCCAAAUGACAUAUCGUACAUAUCUUUUGGAAAUUACCAUCCAAAUUCUCCUCCACUUUCGCAUCCUAUUUCAAGAUUCUCAUCAAACAUUGAAAGACACCAAUUUUGACCAAGUGAUGCUCACAUGGGUGCAAGAACCUUGAAAUACUAUUUUUGCACAAGUUACAUAUAUUCAUGUACAUGAGGCCUUGGAAAGGGCUAGAUUCGAAAGUGCGGAAGGGUUCUAUGAAUGUAUUGCUAAGGUGGCUCCUGAUAUUAGUGAGAAACAUAUUACUCCCUCGCUCCCAAUUUAUGUGGAACUUUUCGAUUCUCGAGAGUCAACUUGACUAAUCUUUGAAGCUAAAUUGAAUUAGAUCAACUUAAUAUUUUAGAAUUAAAAUUCAGAUAUUCAAAAAAUAUAGAUCAAAGCUCACUUAAUUUGAAUCUAGAGAAGCGAAACAUGCCAUAUAAAUUGGGACAGAGGAAGUAUGACGGAGCAGCUUGGUACUUGCAGGAAUCCUGACAAACUUUUUGGAAUUCCAAUGGUUGUUAGACAAAGAAAGACGAGGUCACUAGUUGGAAGGAUGGAAGCCUCAUAAUUCUCCACUCCACCCUUCCCAAGGUUUGUCAUCAAAGUUACAAGUCUAACUUGUAGCUCAUUCGGAUGUGAGAGGAAUUGGAGAUUGUUUGAACAUGUCAGAAGAAAGAUUCAGUAUACUAGUCUCUCGGUACGCAAGUUGCACAUGUACACCAUAUCAGUAUAAUGCGUGAAAAAAAAUUUGAAAAUCACAUAAACAUUUUAUUAUAAAUAUGCUUGAGUUAAGGAAUUACUUAAAAGAAAAAUUAUAAGAUUUUGAAAAUAACGAAUGUAAUCAUAUGUAGCUAACUUAAUGUUGAAAAUGACAAAUACUUUUUAGCUUUUUCUUUUAUUACUACUAUUAUUAUUAAUAAAUAUAAAAACAUACUAUUAAAAGAGUGUUCUAGUCUUUCAAAUUUCUAUAAUAGUAUAGAUUAGUAAAGUAAAUUAUAUCUCAAUUGUCCUAACUCCUAUUAAUUAUUUGCCACAACUUAUUUGCAAAUUCAUACCAAGAUGAUGAAUAGACUGGACCUAAAGCGUCUCAAUGAUCCAGUGUCCAUAAACGGAAAAGGAAAAUACAACUUCUAAGUAGAUGCUAUAUAUGCAAAAAGGAGGUUGAAACUAACAGGCAUCUAUUCAUUCACUGUGGGAUGGCCUCAGAUUUCUGGAACAUGUUUUUUUGCCUAUUUGGUCUCAAUUGGACCACACCUCUGUCAGUUAAGGAAGCCUAUGAGAGCUGGAGCCGAUGGAGAGUUGACAAAGCCAUCAAGAAGAUCUGGAACAUGGUACCUGCUUGUAUAUUUUGGUGUAUCUGGUUAGAAAGAAUAGGAGAUGUUUUGAUGGGGAGUCAACUCCUUUAGGUCUUUUGAACGCAAGGUGUAUUGCCAAUUUGUUUAGUUGGUCCAACUUGGCUCCUGUUGAUAAUGCAGAACAUCUUUUGGUUUUAUAGCUCACUUAACUCUGGUUUAGAUAGUUUUUGUACAGCCAGCCAGUCAUUUUUUGUAAGCUCAAAUGCCAUAUCUUGUAAAUCUUGCAUCUUCUUGAUGCCUUAUAUUAAUAUUACUUGCUUUAUCAAAAAAGAAAA